rnacentral:rRNA from 1 species
GGGGAAUAUUGCACAAUGGGGGAAACCCUGAUGCAGCGACGCCGCGUGAGUGAAGAAGUAUUUCGGUAUGUAAAGCUCUAUCAGCAGGGACGAUAAUGACGGUACCUGACUAAGAAGCCCCGGCUAACUACGUGCCAGCAGCCGCGGUAAUACGUAGGGGGCAAGCGUUAUCCGGAUUUACUGGGUGUAAAGGGAGCGUAGACGGUGUGGUAAGUCAGGUGUGAAAGCCCGGGGCUCAACCCCGGGAUUGCACUUGAAACUAUCAAACUAGAGUGCAGGAGAGGUAAGUGGAAUUCCUAGUGUAGCGGUGAAAUGCGUAGAUAUUAGGAGGAACACCAGUGGCGAAGGCGGCUUACUGGACUGUAACUGACGUUGAGGCUCGAAAGCGUGGGGAGCAAAC